GAAAACAAAAAUAUCCCUCAUUGUUUCAGGCAAACUAGAAAAGACCGAAAUACGCCCAUCUUCAACCCUGUAUUCUCAAACCCAUAUUGAGAAGAUUAAGAGAAAAAUUAUGGCGGAUUUAUAAUAACAACAACACCAUCAUACCAAUCUGAGUGAGAAGAAGAAGACGAGGUUAAACUCUCGACACCAUCCUCUGUAGAUUACUAACAACAACAACAUCACCAUCCUCUGCGGAUUCAGAUGUAGAAAAGAACAUAUCAAAACAACAUUCAACACUCCACCAUCCUUUGGGGAUUCGUCACCAUCCUCGUCCUACCAUGCAUAAUGGGUCUCAAUGAUUCAACGACGACACUUUUCAUCAUUAUCAUCUUGGUUUAAGAAGAAAAGGUGAAGAUCAGAUAUGGAGUCGGAGAGGGAGGAAGGGAGUGUUGAGUGAAAGAAAGAUGAAAGAUUGUUGAAAACAAUUUUGGAUUUAUGGUGUUGUUGUUUGGAUUUGAGGAACAUGGUGAAAUGAGAAUGUGAUGUUAACAAAGAAUGGGCGAGUUAUGUACAAUGAAUUGGUUGGACUCAGGUGGUUUUUCCAAGCCUUCGAUGAAUUUGUGUUUUGGUAAGAAUAACCAACAAGGGAGAAAAGUGAAACGAGAGAAGGUAAAAGGUUAAAGAAAAGAUGGUACUCCGUCCGUUGCAUAAUAAUUGAGUCAUUUGCAAAAUAAUAUUGUUUCAAAAAAAAUUUGACCCAUUUCACUUUUCAAUAUAACAUUAAUUAUUUUUUUCAAAUAUAACUCUAAUUAAUAUUAUUUUCAUCACUCACAAUUUAAUAUAUUCCACUAUGCACCAAUACUUAACGAAAACAUUUAAAACCAUUUUUCACUCUCAUUCAUUUAUACAUAUUUUUUAAUAUGUGUGAAAUAAACAAAUAGCUCGGUAAAUCUAGGAUAGAGGGAGUAUAUUGUUCAUUUUAGGAUGAGUUUAAAAAUAUGGCAGAAGGUAUUUUCGUCCAUUUGUAUCUAAAAGUAUGAGUCAACAUCCAUCAUUUAUCUCAAUCAAAUCUGUAAAUAAAUAUCAUUUCUUUUUUUCUUUGGUCGAAAUAUAAAUAUCAUUUCUUAUCUUAAUACAACUCCUUGACGCAAAGUCGCAAAGCGUGAUCAAUUUUCAACUCAACCGAUACUUGAUAUCAGAACCGCUCCGAUGAGUUCCCGGCGUCUCCGCUCUCACUCCAAACCAUCACCGCCGUCAGCAACUCUUAUCUUUACUAUUUCAACAUAUCUCCACAGAAUCGUGGUAUAACUGGAUGGGGAAUGGUUGCUUAUAACCAAUCUGGCGUGGUGCAAUCUUCAGCUUGGAAAAGAGAAGCCAUUGAAAUUGAUCCGGUGUCGGUAGAAACACUUGGUGUUAGAUGGUGGUUGCAGUAUACAGCUGAACUGAACCUGUAGAGUAAUGUAUUGCUAUUGCUUCCGAUGCUGAAACUGUGGUUAAUUGCAUUAAUACGGAAUUGAGUAUGGCGCUGGCGGCCAUUGAUCCUAUUAUUCAAGACUGUAAAUUACUUAAGAGUCAUGUUGGUGAUGUAGUAGUUUUAUUGUGUUACAUGUCACUUAAUAACCGUUGCUCACAACUUAGCUGUGCCUGUUUUGUCUUAGUCUGUUGGUUCAAAAAUUUGGUUUCCGGUGGUUAACUAGCUGUUGUUCACUUGUUUUGCCUCGAGUUGGUUAGGUUUGAUACUCUGUCAUAUGAUUUUUAACACUUCUUAUGGCAGUUUCUUUAGCAAUACUUCUUAUUAUAGUUUUUUUUUUUUUUUUGCCAAAUACCACUAGUGAUUCUCUUUUAGUUUCACAGAA